CGCCGCGUGGGGGAUGAAGGCCUUCGGGUUGUUAAACCCCUUUACCUAGCAGGGACGGAAGCGAAAGAGACGGUACCUGCAGAAGAAGCGCCGGCUAACUACGUGC
rnacentral:rRNA from 1 species